rnacentral:lncRNA from 1 species
GUAAUAUAACUUAUAGUCAAAGAGAUAGGAUUACGAUGUCCAUCAAAUAAAGUAAUGCAAGAGUUAGAAUACUUGCACAAUAAGAGUAGGGUUUGGAUACUUGCUCAAUAUAAAUUUGAGUAAGGUUAGAGAACUUGCCUUAAAGCGUAGUUUAUCCACUUUAAGAAAUCAACACUUUCGAAUCCUAUUUAUAAUGUAUUAUAUGUUCAAGAUGUUCAUUAGCUAACACAGUCUUUAAACAUGCUUGACGCGAUUCAAGUAUGCACAUAUGGUAAAAAAUCAGUUCAUACGACAUCAAAUCCAUAGUUACUUAAUAAAUAAUUUAAGAAUGCUUAAGUUUAAGAUCUCCUUACUCAUGAACCUUCCAUUACAAGGCAAACACCAACUUAUAAUCUAAGCAUCACACACACAG